rnacentral:lncRNA from 1 species
AAAGGAAUCAUUUCGGAUGCUGCUACUUUUGUUUGCCAAGCUUCUUAUUGGUACCACAAGUCAACGCUUGCUGGAAAACGCCACCCUUGGAAAACAACCUGUAACGUACGACUGCUGUCUCUUCGUGUAUUUUCUGCUCAGAUCUUAACAUGCGCUUCCUCUGAAGGCCACCAGCGAUAAUAUUCACUCCCUCUCCAGAACCACAAGUCUGAUUGUGGUGCCAUCCAUGUAACAGAAUGCUGUUGGUGUGUGCUGGUGUUCUCUGUUCAUGCACGUAAACCUGGGACUCCCAGGGAACUUAAGAAGCAUGAGCCUUGUUUGUGAAUCUCCAGAUGGGGGCAGACAUUGAGAUGCACGGCUAGAAUAUUAGGCUGGGAUUGAUUACCCCAGUUCAGCUGUCAGGGAGCAGAAAGAAUUAAACCAAAGUCUCCUGGAUCCCAGGAAAAUGGCAUUACCGAUACCUCAACAUUUGGAGCAUCACUGUUAACUCUGCUGCAAUGGAGCCUGAGGAUGGAGCAUGGAGCAUAUAAACUACAGGAUUGCAAUCCAAGAUAACUCGCACAGUUUAAAAUCCCCUAAGUCAUCAGUAAUAGAAUUCUUGCCAAACUCAAUCACUCCCACCCAAAGCUGAAUUAACUUGCCUCCACUGCAGUAACAGCAAUAUUUUUGCUCUGUCUCAAUACAGACUGAGGGAAAAUGAUGUAAUUGAGUAAAACCUUUAUACUUAUCUGCCUCCAGAGUUUCACUUUGGGCAAUCUACCACUAGAUAUGUAAGUACACAUUUCAAAUCAGUAACCCAAAACUUUCAAACACCUCUGCUUUUGAUUUAGAUAUAUGUUGUCAUUGGCCAUCUAGGUAUUAAAAGACAUUGACUGCACCCAUUCUUAUUAAAAGUUUCAACACAAACUAAGAUAGUCAUGUGCUAUACAUGCAUUUUGGGUCUCAGUGUCCUGAUCUCCCCUCAAGUAGAAAACUGCCUCAGAGGUGUGAAUGGAUUUAUAUGAAGAACAUUCUGUAGAAGCUGAGGUCCAGGUUUAAACAUAGACUUUAAUCGGUGUAGCGGAGAUGGUGGGCAUCGAAGAAGUAGCAUCCUGUUAGCCAAGCCUCCAUGUUUGAACUAUGGCACAGGGCUAGAGCUUCAUGUGCUAUUCAGUUUGCCCAUGGAAAACUGCCCAGACUGCAGACUGUCAGUUUUACAUUCACUUGCAAACAAGUAAGUCAGUGUAUGUAGGAGAAUGGCACAAAGAAACAAUGCUACUCCCUGCCUCAUGCUUGUUGUCAAGUCCCAAAGUACACAACUACCCCACCUUCACAGGGAGAAGAAUAAAUGGAAGUGAUGUCUUACUGGAUCAAAUGUUAUCUUCUUUCUCCUUUAUGUCUUUGUUAUUAGUAAUAAACAAAAGCGAGUUUAGCUUGUUCUUAAAAACGACAAACUCUUCUGUUCUGCUCGUGUCAUCAGGACUCAUUGUUUGGGAUUGUUUACCCUUUGCUAGGAGCUAUGAUGACUUUGCAGGACUUGGAGAGCAUGAAGUGAACUGUCCUGGCUUACUCACUGAGGUGUGGCUGGCACUAAAUGUACAAGAAAACAUAUUUAAAGUAACAGUGCAUGUAAAUCUCGUAGCUCUACUUUUUCACUUUAUCAUCUGAAUACUUCAGUAUGAGAGGAAAAAUGAAGAAUGAUUCUCUUUUUGUAACAUCUGUCUCAGGAGGACACCUUCCCAGUGCACAUAGGACUCAACUUUGAGAUAUUUUCUUUUCAAGAGACAUGGGAGUUUUGAACCAGAGAAAAACAAUUUCUGCGCGAGGUUAACAAAAAUGUACAAUAAUUCUUAAGUCUUCCUGAAGUUCAUAUCCUCAUUUUGCCAUUCCAGAAUCAUAGAAUCACAGAACAGCCGAAGGACCAUCUAGCACCAUGUCCAAUCACAUCUUGAAAACCUGCAGCAAUGGGGGAUUCCACCACAUCCUCGGGGAGGUUGUUCCAGUCAUUGACUGUUUUCACUCUGAAAAAUUUCAUUCUGCUGUCAAGUCAACAGUGAGCCCUGUGGCUGACAGUGGAGAGCCCAGUUCUGCCAGAGUGCUGGAGAACAUCUACUGGGAAAUUCAGACCACCUGGGGAGGUAGCUCAGCAAGCAAGGAGGCUUCAGACUGGACCUGAAGUUUUUGAGACCUCAGUGUAACAUGACAGAAUUGCAGCACAGCUUUUCAGGGUACAUUUGUACAUGAAGAGACAUUCCAUGUUUAUUCAGGAAUGGCCCACACUGCAUUUAACUCUUGCUCAAAUACACAAGCUGAGCGAGGGCAGAGGCUGAGGAUGUGAGCCUGUUCCCACAGAAGAUCAGCUCCUACUGUAAGCUUGGCUCCUGCUCCAGGUUUCAUAGUGGUGGAGUAGAAAAGUCCCUUCCUUUAAACAGGGCCAAGUAGACCAGAGUCAACAAAAGGACUUUUCUUUCCAUGGCAUCCUGUGCCUGAGCAGAAAUCACUGAUGAAGCUGCUGGAUUUUGCCUGUAGACACCCGUGCAUGUGGACUUCUGCCAGCCCUACCACGGGAGGAGCAGAUACGUAGAGGGCUCCGAGUUGACUUUGAGGACCAAGAACCUCUUCAUCACUGCAUCGAGGUGUACCUCCCAGUUGAGGGACUGACCAUCCCAGGCACAUUGCCACUGAAGAUUCUGUCUUGUAACUCCAAUUUCACAUCAUAUCUGCUUUGAUUUCUCAUCUCUAGUGCUAAGGAACUACCCAUAACAAGGAAUCUACCCAUAUCUACUCUACCCUCUCUCUUCCUUUUGUGCUUGUCGCUUUUUUUUCAGGAGAUGCCUGUUUGUGGUUUGUGGUUUCCCACAUUCAAAGAAGAAACUGCGUACCUGGGCACAAUGUGCCCUCUGUCUUUUGCUACAUUUAUCCCUCUAAACGUCAGUGGCUAAAAGAGCAGAUGGCCUGGAUAUAUAAACUUUAUUACAGGUAACAGAAGAGGGGCUGUAGCAGAUGAGGACAUGCAGUACUCAUGUUUUUGUAAAUGGCCAGCUGGUUUCUUUAAAAUAGGAAGAAGAAAGGUCUGGCAUUCACUUGGAAUGCUGAGAUAGCCCAGAGUUUCAGAUAUAAUUCGCACCAUCAGGCACAGCAUAUAGUAAUCCUCCAUGAUGAUGUUUUAUGCCUUGGAAUCAGUUCUGCCUGUUCUGAUUCUUGUCUGUGAGUAAUGGGAGAUGGCAGUGCCAGAGUAGAAAGGAUUACCUGUGCUGUUAACUCUGCUGUAUUGGCAAUUUCUUCUCAUCUUAUUCUGUUUUCUUUUCUCUUAUCAAGCCCAUUUCUUUUUCUUUUGUUGGAGUGGUUUGUGAAAUAUAAAGAAAUAACAUGUUAUUUCUCUGAUUGUCUCCUCCUUGUAUGCGUGCACCAGGAGUGCAUGUGCUGUGUUCAAGGACUUCUAAAUGUCACACAGCUGAACCACAGCACUUCAGCCAUGUGACACUUGCAAGCUACAUUCAUGAGUAGCACAUGCCUUUCCUUAGUUCAGAACAGAUGUCAUUUCCCUUGGAAGAUCUCCUGGAUUCCUGAAAAUGAAGUUCGGUAAUUUUCUUUUAAGAGCUUCAGGUUAAUAAGUGUGUCUUCAAACUGCAGGAUAUGAAAGACAGCAAGUAGAUGUUUCUGAGAUAGUGAUCUUCCUUCCCUCCAAAACAAAUUGUGUUAAGAAGCUGCUCUUGGGGUGAUAGUUUCAGUGUAAAACGCUGCAGUGGCUACGAGGCCCUGCAGCUGAAUCCCACAUAGGACAGGGAAUAUCAUCCUUUCUCAAGUCUACGCAAUGCUCUUGAUGUCCAGCAUACUUACAGAAGUUACAGAAUACUUCUUGCAAUGCCAUUCAGCAGAAAACAGCAAUAAAAAAAAAAAAAUCACACAUAUCUCACCUUUUCUGGCUGUACAUCACCAGCACUGUUCUGGUGAACUAUGCUGCUGGGUGGCUGAGGUGAUCGUGAAAGGAAACAGUGUUUUUAAGUGGUUGACAGGAAAACAGGUAGAGAGAGAGAAUUGUCACCUACUUUUAGUGUAAUGCUUUUUACGCCGAGAAGGAAGUGUGGGCUUGAGCAAGCAUGAAGCAGAAAGAAAGAAAUUUAUCAACUAAAAUGCUUGCAUGACUAUUACUAUGCCCGGGGAAAAAUAAAGCCGUUUUCUGACAGAUUAAAUUAGUACUGCAACCUUAGCAUAUAUUUCACUUUGCCUUAAAAAGAAACCAAUACUGUUUCGAAUUAAACGAGAUGUUUGUAGGAUUAUUGACAUGUGUUUCAUUUGUAUGAAAUGAACAGCAGAAAGAUCUGGAGGAGAGAAUGGUGGGGUUAAGUAUAUUCCUGGCUGCCAAUAUUUAUGCUUCCAGGUAAUUUAGAAAAAUCAGUUUUAUCGUUGCUCAUAUAGAAUCCCUUUAUCUCCUAUUUAGAGAAUCUUUUUGUAAUGCAAGUUCAUGAAGGGCUCUUCUACAUCUCUCCUCCAACUCAGUAAAAUUACAGUCUACAAUAAAGCUCAGUCUCUUUUAGUUGAGACAUUGCUGUGUUGAAUUGUGGAUUUGCUUGCAGGACAGACUGGAUGUGUAUGUGUGAACAUCACACUGCAGGGAAUACAGAAACCUGCACUAUGGUGAGCUUCACUGUGUGUCACUGCCUGGUGUGCAGCUACAAGUGGCUGUUUCAGUACUCAGCAUCUACAGAAGGUAGGGACAUGUCAAAG